rnacentral:lncRNA from 1 species
AGAAACAAGCAGAGAAGAAUGCAGUCUUCACAGUCAGCUUAGCAGAAGGAGUCCGAGCUGAGGAACUCAAGAAGCUGCCACAUCUGCCUGAAGAAACAAGCAGAGAAGAAUGCAGCCUGCACAGUCAGCUCAGCAGAAGGAGUCUGAGUUGAAGAACUCGAGAAGAUGCUACAUUCUGCCAGAAGAAUAGAUAAGACAAAGGAAAAUGAUACAUUGAAGCAUGUGGAGACAAGCACAACAAAG